rnacentral:rRNA from 1 species
UACGGGGGGGGCAAGCGUUGUUCGGAAUUACUGGGCGUAAAGGGCGCGUAGGCGGCCUGCUAAGUCGGACGUGAAAUCCCUCGGCUCAACCGGGGAACUGCGUCCGAUACUGGCGAGGCUUGAAUCCGGGAGAGGGAUGUGGAAUUCCAGGUGUAGCGGUGAAAUUCGUAGAUAUUCGCAAGAACACCAGUGGCGAAGGCGGCUCACUGGCCCGGUACUGACGCUGAGGUGCGAAAGCGUGGGGAGCAAACAGG